CCUACGGGCGGCAGCAGUGAGGAAUAUUGGUCAAUGGGAGAGAUCCUGAACCAGCCAAGCCGCGUGAGGGAAGACGGCCCUAUGGGUUGUAAACCUCUUUUGUCGGAGAACAACACCCGGGACGUGUCCCGGACUGCGUGUAUCCGAAGAAAAAGCAUCGGCUAACUCCGUGCCAGCAGCCGCGGUAAUACGGAGGAUGCGAGCGUUAUCCGGAUUUAUUGGGUUUAAAGGGUGCGUAGGCGGUCCGUUAAGUCAGCGGGAAAAUUGCGGGGCUCAACCCCGUCGAGCCGUUGAAACUGGCAGACUUGAGUUGGCGAGAAGUACGCGGAAUGCGCGGUGUAGCGGUGAAAUGCAUAGAUAUCGCGCAGAACUCCGAUUGCGAAGGCAGCGUACCGGCGCCAGACUGACGCUGAGGCACGAAAGCGUGGGGAUCGAACAGGAUUAGAUACCCCUGUAGUC
rnacentral:rRNA from 1 species